rnacentral:rRNA from 1 species
GAUGAACGCUGGCGGCGUGCCUAAUACAUGCAAGUCGAGCGAACAGACGAGGAUCUUGCUCCUCUGACGUUAUCGGCGGACGGGUGAGUAACACGUGGAUAACCUACCUAUAAGACUGGGAUAACUUCGGGAAACCGGAGCUAAUACCUGAUAAUAUAUUGAACCGCAUGGUUCAAUAGUGAAAGACGGUUUUGCUGUCACUUAUAGAUGGAUCCGCGCCGCAUUAGCUAGUUGGUAAGGUAACGGCUUACCAAGGCAACGAUGCGUAGCCGACCUGAGAGGGUGAUCGGCCACACUGGAACUGAGACACGGUCCAGACUCCUACGGGAGGCAGCAGUAGGGAAUCUUCCGAAAUGGGCGAAAGCUGGACGGAGCAACGCCGCGUGAGUGAUGAAGGUCUUCGGAUCGUAAAACUCUGUUAUUAGGGAAGAACAAAUGUGUAAGUAACUAUGCACGUCUUGACGGUACCUAAUCAGAAAGCCACGGCUAACUACGUG